rnacentral:rRNA from 1 species
UACGUAGGCAGCAAGCGUUGUUCGGAAUUACUGGGCGUAAAGGGUGCGUAGGCGGCUUUUUAAGUUUGGUGUGAAAUCUCCCGGCUCAACUGGGAGGGUGCGCCGAAUACUGAGAAGCUAGAGUGUGGGAGAGGAAAGUGGAAUUCCUGGUGUAGCGGUGAAAUGCGCAGAUAUCAGGAGGAACACCAAUGGCGAAGGCAGCUCGCUGGGACGGUACUGACGCUGAGACGCGAAAGCGUGGGGAGCAAACAGG